GCUCCCUGGACACCGGAGGGGCUAAGGGCGGCCAGGAGCGACCGUGGGGGCGCGGACUCACAGCGGAUGGUGUGGAAAGAGGUCCGCGGCCGCUUCUCGAAGCUCUCCCCGAGCCGCAGGCAGUGCUCCUCGCGGUCCAGCAGCGGGUUGGCCGUCCCGUUCAUGGCCCCCCCGGACCUCGCGCCCGCACCGGUGCCCUCCUGGCGCGCCCGCGGCCCGAGCUGCCGGUACCGGUGUCCGGGGCAGCCGCGCUCCCGGGACAGCGCUCCGGGUCGCGCGGGGAACAGAGCCGGAACCCACCCGUGGCCGGAAGCAAAUCCUGGCCUCCGCGUCCGGAAGAACCCCCCAACCGGAGCCUCAUUCUUUUUCCUGCGAAACACCCGAUGCUGCCUGAGGCUUGGACCCAACCUGAGGGACCACAUCUGAGAAAACCCUGCCUGUGUCUGCAGUAUCCGCUUGAAUUCCUCAGGUUGUUCAGGAAUGGAGAAUCUCCAGCAGUGUUAAAUAUAUUACCAUCAACUUAGGAGAUGUCUGCUUUGCAAAGGAAAGGGCUUCAGGCAAGGAUUCUCAGCUCUGAAGAAGAGGAGAAACUGACAAGAGACCAAGCUUUAGUGUCUGAUUAUAAACAGCAAAAACUGGAAAAAGAGGCUCAGAAGAACUGGGACCUUUUUUACAAAAGAAAUAGCACUAAUUUCUUCAAAGAUAGACACUGGACCACCAGAGAGUUUGAGGAGCUCAGAUCAUGUAGAGAGUUUGAAGAUCAAAAAUUGACUAUGCUUGAAGCUGGUUGUGGGGUUGGGAACUGUUUAUUCCCGCUUUUAGAAGAUCCGAAUAUCUUUGCCUAUGCCUGUGAUUUUUCUCCAAGAGCAGUUGAAUAUGUCAAGCAAAAUCCUUUAUAUGACACAGAACGAUGCAAGGUAUUCCAGUGUGAUCUGACUAAAGAUGACCUUCUGGAACACGUGCCCCCGGAGUCUGUGGAUGUUGUCAUGUUGAUAUUUGUGCUCUCUACGGUUCACCCUGAUAAAAUGCACCUUGUCUUACAAAACAUUUACAAGGUAUUAAAACCAGGCAAAAGUGUCUUGUUUCGCGACUAUGGGCUGUAUGAUCAUGCCAUGCUUAGGUUUAAAGCCGGCAGCAAACUUGCAGAAAACUUUUAUGUUAGACAAGAUGGAACCAGAUCAUAUUUUUUCACUGAUGGUAAGAUUGCUGGAAUCUGUCUUGACUGCUGUUUCCUUGAUUGCAUUGUCACUAUGGUACCAGUUGGAGUGGGGGUGACUGUACCCCCCUUAUAAGCACAAGGUCCCAGAACAAGCCCGCUCACGUGCACCACUUACCAGCCCUGGCUGUGAGCUCACGGGCCGCCUCUGGUGACCGUGUCCAGUUAGAGAGCCGGAUCAGUGGACAGGCUCUGAUGCGCCGCCAUGUGGAUGACGCCAGGAGCUGCGCUGGAAAGAGGGGAGAGCAAACCAGAAUCUUCACUUCGUUCACUCAGGCAUAAAGCAAAUAGGACAGGGUAGUGCCUUGAGAUUACUUGAGUCUCACAAAGAAUUCCUGGCACGGCUCUUUAUGGACACAGGUUACGAAGAAGAGGUGAACGAGUAUGUGUUUCGUGAGACGGUGAAUAAAAAAGAAGGCCUGUGUGUACCGAGGGUUUUCCUUCAGAGCAAGUUCCGAAAGUCUCUGAAGAACCCAACUCCUGUGACCCCGCGCCUGGGCCACGAGUCCUGACCUUUCAUGAAGUUGAUGUCUGUGCCUCCCCUUGAAGAGGAAAGUUUAAAGUCACUAUUUUGUGUACUUUUAUAUUUUAACUUUUUAAAAUGAAUAUAUAUACUUUUUAUAUUAAAAGGUAGCAAGUGUGUGUGUGUUACAGAAUUGUAAAUAAAAUUGCAAGACCUG